rnacentral:tRNA from 10 species
GGGCCUGUAGCUCAGUUGGUUAGAGCGCGACACUGAUAAUGUCGAGGUCUCAGGUUCGAAUCCUGACAGGCCCACAA